rnacentral:sRNA from 2 species
UCGGACCGAUCGACGAUCUGAACCAGCACGGGCAGGAGUGGGGGAACCACCUUCGCGGCCACACGGUCGCUCGGGGUGAAGCCGCCGACUGGCGGCCGGGCACCUUCCUGCCCGAACCCGACAGCUCACCUCGCAGGCGUGGGAAGGAAAC